rnacentral:ncRNA from 2 species
UCCUUUCAAUAGGAGAUAGGUACAUAAGGUAGAUAUUCUUAUGUUUAAAAGGGAAGUUUGGUGAAAUUCCAACGCGGUCCCGCCACUGUAAUUGUAAAGAGUUCUUUUCAUAUACCACUGUGUAAACACGGGAAGGGAGAAGAAAUCGCUGAUACAUAAGUCAGGAGACCUGCCUAUUUUAACAGCACUGA